UCCUGGUCUCUGGUGGGGCUGGUUUCUGGUGGGGCUGGUCUCUGGUGGGGUUGGUCUGUCUCUGGUGGGUUUGGUCUGUCUCUGGUGGGGUUGGUCUCGUCUGGUGGGGUUUGGUCUCUGGUGGGGCUGGUCUCUGGUGUGGUUGGUCUCUGGUGGGGUUGGUCUGUCUCUGGUGGGGUUGGUCUGUCUCUGGUGGGGUUGGUCUCUGGUGGGGUUUGGUCUCUGGUGGGGUUGGUCUGUCUCGGGGCUGGUCUCUGGUGGGGUUGGGCUCUGGUGGGGUUGGGCUCUGCUGGCGCUGGUCUCUGGUGCGGUUGGUCUGUCUCUAGUGCGGUUGGUCUGUCUUUGGUGGGGUUUGGUCUCUGGUGGGGUUGGUCUCUAGUGGGGUUGGUCUCUGGUGGGGUUGGGCUCUGGUGGGGUUGGUCUCUGGUAGGGCUGGUCUCUGGUGGGGUUGGUCUGUCUCUGGUGGGGUUGGUCUCUGGUGGGGUUUGGUCUCUGGUGGGGCUGGUCUCUGGUGGGGUUGGUCUCUGGUGGGGUUGAUCUCUGGAGGAGUUGGUCUCUGGUGGGGC
rnacentral:lncRNA from 1 species